AGUGAAUCCAGCCCAGCAAUUUAACGGGUCUUCUACUACUCUUCUACUUUUCUACGUUCCUCGUGACCAAGAAAGAAAACCCCGGAUCAUUCUAAUACUCACAGAUCUUCAAAAUUGAAGGUUCGAAGAAUUUCCGGAGCGGUGCAUCGCAAACUCUAUUUAGUAAGGUGUUGGUUUUUUUGGUGUUGGAAUCUUAUUUUUUGGUUAUAUGUUGAAGAAAAAAAAGGGAUUUCGGGUAAGUUUUUUACUCGAUAUGGAUGAAUUUUUAAGAUUUUAACUUCCCUUUUUAUGUUUUUUUGCUUUGACAGUAUACUACUUGGCCUUCCGAUAUUGAUAAAUCUGCUUCCUUGGACGACCUUUCUGGAGUGUUGCGAUUUUUGUUAGGUAAGUUUUUAUUUUGGGGGUGUUUGGAAUUCAUUUAUUUUUGGGGAUUUUGGGUACAUCUGCUUUGCUCGACUUCAUCAAAGGUUCAAUUCCAAAAUUUUUUUUUUUUAAUGUUGUUUAGCUGGAAUUUGAUCAACUGGAAAGAGUUCCUUGUGUCAGUAUUUCUAUCUGGUUUUUACUUUAAGAACGAGGAAAAUUUUCUGCUGAGUGUUGCCACAAUAAUAUGUUGUAAUAAAUUAGGCAGAACCUCUGAAGUGUAGUUAAUGAAAGUAUGAAGUGCAAAUUCAACACCAUUUCAUUUAAUCAGAUUUUGGGUGCAUAAAUUAAUCUGUAUGCGUGUUGAUUUUGCUCAUGUUUGUGUUAAUCCUUCGAUUAUUUGAUCUAUUAGGCAUUGUGCUACUGAAUGCUUAAAGGACGAAAUGUUCAACGUGUAUGAAACGAGGAGGAAUUUAAGAUUGAUAUAUAGGCAACUAU
rnacentral:lncRNA from 1 species